rnacentral:rRNA from 1 species
UUUUCCCAGUNCCNNCGNGUUGUAAAACGACGGCCAGUGAAUUCGAGCUCGGUACCUCGCGAAUGCAUCUAGAUUCCUACGGGAGGCAGCAGUAGGGAAUCUUCCGCAAUGGACGAAAGUCUGACGGAGCAACGCCGCGUGAGUGAUGAAGGUUUUCGGACCGUAAAACUCUGUUGUUAGGGAAGAACAAGUGCCAUAGUAACUGAUGGCACCUUGACGGUACCUAACCAGAAAGCCACGGCUAACUACGUGCCAGCAGCCGCGGUAAUACGUAGGUGGCAAGCGUUGUCCGGAAUUAUUGGGCGUAAAGCGCUCGCAGGCGGUUCUUUAAGUCUGAUGUGAAAUCUUACGGCUCAACCGUAAACGUGCAUUGGAAACUGGGGAACUUGAGUGCAGAAGAGGAGAGUGGAAUUCCACGUGUAGCGGUGAAAUGCGUAGAGAUGUGGAGGAACACCAGUGGCGAGGGCGACUCUCUGGUCUGUAACUGACGCUGAGGAGCGAAAGCGUGGGGAGCGAACAGGAUUAGGUACCCUGGUAGUCCACGCCGUAAACGAUGAGUGCUAGGUGUUAGGGGGUUUCCGCCCCUUAGUGCUGAAGUUAACGCAUUAAGCACUCCGCCUGGGAGUACGCCG